CAGAGAGCUCAGAAUAUCGAUUAUCCCGAAUAAAAGCAAUCCCUCUUGCAUCUGCCUGCAAAAGAUAGGAUAACUGAGGUGGCACUUCAGCGGCCAUGUCCAAGGAAAUAGCCCCUGUAAGAGCUAGAUUAGCAAUAAUCUUCACGAAAUAUAUGAGAUAUUUUAAAGAAAUGUAAUGAAGAGAACCACUGCUGAAAAUCUGAAAGGAUAACAGAAGAGGGCUUGAGGGAAGAAGAAAGAUCCGACAGCCAAUGUACAACUAUUAAAGAAUCCCCUUCUACCAAAGUUGAGAUAUAUGAAAUUAAGUGAUAGCCUCUUGGAGUCUGAACCAAAUCGCAAGUAGCUCAGCAUAAGGCACAGAGCAACAAUUAAUUCGUUUACCUAUCGUCUUAAUGAGUCGUCCAAAAUGAUCUCGCAACACAGAAUCCUGUUGUCGCUUAAGUGUUGAACAGCUGCAUCAAAAUUUAUCUUGCAAACUUCUAAUGAAGGGGAUGACCAAGAGAUAACAAGAGGAGGAGAGAGAAAAGCAAGAGAGUUGCCACCCCAACACCUGAACAGAGCUGCACAAGAUAGAAAAUUAGUGUAGCGAGGAAGAUGAGGAAGAUAAAAGAAAACUCGCUGCAUCAAAUGCAUCGGAAUGGUGAAGGAUUGUUGAAAUAUCCACUCAUUUCGAGCUAC
rnacentral:lncRNA from 1 species